UACAGAGGGUGCGAGCGUUAAUCGGAAUUACUGGGCGUAAAGCGCGCGUAGGUUGUUGUUAAGCGAGAUGUGAAAGCCCCGGGCUCAACCUGGGAACUGCAUUUCGAACUGGCAAGCUAGAGUACAGUAGAGGGUGGCGGAAUUUCCUGUGUAGCGGUGAAAUGCGUAGAGAUGGGAAGGAACAUCAGUGGCGAAGGCGGCCACCUGGACUGAUACUGACACUGAGGUGCGAAAGCGUGGGGAGCAAACAGG
rnacentral:rRNA from 1 species